rnacentral:tRNA from 1 species
AAGGGAGACCUAAUUCAGGUAUGGGACGAAAAAAAGUAGUCGCUACCAAGAAUCAAUCCCAAAAGGUCGGAGCGAGGUAUGAGGCUUUCAAACUAGGUUCUGGGUUCAAACAAGACCUGAAUCAGGAACAAGGGCUAUUAGCUCAGGUGGUUAGAGCGCACCCCUGAUAAGGGUGAGGUCCCUGGUUCGAGUCCAGGAUGGCCCACCUGCACAGGUGGCAAAAACAAGAGAAGCUCCGAAUCAGCACCUUAUCUUAUCUAUAUAUAAGAGAGAAUGCUGGCUCUGAGUACAGAGUCCAGAGGAACCUUGAAAACUGCAUAGAGCUAGGUGAAAAAGCCAAAAAAGAAGACCGCAA